rnacentral:rRNA from 1 species
UACGUAGGGGGCAAGCGCUGUCCGGAUUCAUUGGGCGUAAAGAGCGUGUAGGCGGCCAGGUAGGUCGGUUGUGAAAACUGGAGGCUCAACCUUCAGAGGUCGACCGAAACCAUCUGGCUAGAGUCCGGGAGAGGAGAGUGGAAUUCCUGGUGUAGCGGUGAAAUGCGCAGAUAUCAGGAAGAACACCCGUGGCGAAAGCGGCUCUCUGGAACGGUACUGACGCUGAGACGCGAAAGCGUGGGGAGCGAACAGG